GACGAACGCUGGCGGCGUGCUUAACACAUGCAAGUCGAGCGGUAAGGCCCUUUCGGGGGUACACGAGCGGCGAACGGGUGAGUAACACGUGGGUGACCUGCCCUCAGCUCUGGGAUAAGCCUGGGAAACUGGGUCUAAUACCGGAUAUGACUCCAUGACGCAUGUUGUGGGGUGGAAAGCCUUGUGCGGCUGAGGAUGGGCCCGCGGCCUAUCAGCUUGUUGGGGGGUGAUGGCCUACCAAGGCGACGACGGGUAGCCGGCCUGAGAGGGCGGACCGGCCACACUGGGACUGAGACACGGCCCAGACUCCUACGGGAGGGCAGCAGUGGGGAAUCUUGCGCAAUGGGCGAAAGCCUGACGCAGCGACGCCGCGUGAGGGAUGACGGCCUCGGU
rnacentral:rRNA from 1 species